AGAGUUUGAUCAUGGCUCGAGGACGAACGGCUGGCGGCGUGCUUAACACAUGCAAGUCGAGCGGAAAGGCCCUUUCGGGGGUACUCGAGCGGCGAACGGGUGAGUAACACGUGAGUAAUCUGCCCUUGGCUUUGGGAUAACUACCGGAAACGGUGGCUAAUACCGGAUAUGACCAUGCUCGGCAUCGGGUGUGGUGGAAAGUUUUUUCGGCCAGGGAUGUGCUCGCGGCCUAUCAGCUUGUUGGUGGGGUAAUGGCCUACCAAGGCUUCGACGGGUAGCCGGCCUGAGAGGGUGACCGGCCACACUGGGACUGAGACACGGCCCAGACUCCUACGGGAGGCAGCAGUGGGGAAUAUUGGACAAUGGGCGGAAGCCUGAUCCAGCAACGCCGCGUGAGGGAUGACGGCCUUCGGGUUGUAAACCUCUUUCAGUACCGACGAAGCGCCGAUGAUGGUGGUGACGGUAGGUACAGAAGAAGCACCGGCCAACUACGUG
rnacentral:rRNA from 1 species